rnacentral:rRNA from 1 species
UGGGGAAUUUUGGACAAUGGGGGAAACCCUGAUCCAGCCAUCCCGCGUGUGCGAUGAAGGCCUUCGGGUUGUAAAGCACUUUUGGCAGGAAAGAAACGUCGCGGGUUAAUACCCCGCGAAACUGACGGUACCUGCAGAAUAAGCACCGGCUAACUACGUGCCAGCAGCCGCGGUAAUACGUAGGGUGCAAGCGUUAAUCGGAAUUACUGGGCGUAAAGCGUGCGCAGGCGGUUCGGAAAGAAAGAUGUGAAAUCCCAGAGCUUAACUUUGGAACUGCAUUUUUAACUACCGGGCUAGAGUGUGUCAGAGGGAGGUGGAAUUCCGCGUGUAGCAGUGAAAUGCGUAGAUAUGCGGAGGAACACCGAUGGCGAAGGCAGCCUCCUGGGAUAACACUGACGCUCAUGCACGAAGCGUGGGGAGCAAACAGGAUUAGAUACCCUGGUAGUCCACGCCCUAAACGAUGUCAACUAGCUGUUGGGGCCUUCGGGCCUUGGUAGGCGCAGCUAACGCGCGAAGUUGACCGCCUGGGGAGUACGGUC